GACGAACGCUGGCGGCGUGCUUAAGACAUGCAAGUCGCACGGUGUCAUUUUGGUAGCAAUACUUGGAUGGCACAGUGGCGCACGGGUGAGUAACACGUGAAUGACAUGCCCUUCAGAGGGGGAUAGCCCAGGGAAACUUGGAUUAAUACCCCAUGGUCUCGCAAGAGUAAAGGUGGCCGCAAGGCUGUCGCUGGAGGAUUGGUUCGCGUUCUAUCAGCUUGUUGGCGGGGUAACGGCCCACCAAGGCUACGACGGAUACCUGGUCUGAGAGGACGAUCAGGCACACUGGAACUGAGACACGGUCCAGACACCUACGGGUGGCAGCAGUCGAGAAUAAUUCACAAUGGGGGCAACCCUGAUGGUGCAACGCCGCGUGGAGGAUGAAGGUCUUCGGAUUGUAAACUCCUGUCAUCCGGGAGCAAGACCUGACGGUGAAUAGCCGGCAGGGUUGAUAGUACCGGAAGAGGAAGGGACGGCUAACUUCGUGCCAGCAGCCGCAGUAAUAC
rnacentral:rRNA from 1 species